rfam:Macrostomum lignano uti_cns_0003807, whole genome shotgun sequence.
GGGGUUGUGGCUUAGUGGUUAGAGCGACGGACUCGCGACUUGAAGUUCGGGGUUCGAUUCCUGAUCCCA